UUGGAGGGCAAGUCUGGUGCCAGCAGCCGCGGUAAUUCCAGCUCCAAUAGCGUAUAUUAAAGUUGUUGCAGUUAAAAAGCUCGUAGUUGAAUUUCGGGAUCAAGUCGUCGGUCGUGCUCAGGUACGUACUGGCGUCAUUGAUUUCUCCCUUCUGACGAACCAUGAUGUCAUUAAUUUGGUGUUAUGGGAAAUCAGGACUGUUACUUUGAAAAAAUUAGAGUGUUUAAAGCGGACUAUCGUCUGAAUACAUUAGCAUGGAAUAAUGAAAUAGGACGGACUGAUUCUAUUUCGUUGGUUUCUAGGAUCACCGUAAUGAUUAAUAGGGAUAGUUGGGGGCACUAGUAUUCAAUUGUCAGAGGUGAAAUUCUUGGAUUUAUUGAAGACUAACUACUGCGAAAGCAUUUGCCAAGGAUGUCUUCAUUAAUCAAGAACGAAAGUUAGGGGAUCGAAGACGAUCAGAUACCGUCGUAGUCUUAACCAUAAACUAUGCCGACUAGGAAUCAGACGAUGUUAAUUUUUUAAUGACUCGUUCGGCGCCUUACGGGAAAC
rnacentral:rRNA from 1 species